rnacentral:lncRNA from 1 species
ACAACAUUAUGAUGUUCCCCAAGUUUUGGACUCAAUCCGAUAUCGAUUGGUCCUUGAAAUCGGACAAUUCAGGUUUGUACGAAGUUCGUUCUGAAAUGGGGUGGUUGGUGUAUGGUACAGUUCUAGAGAUUGGAUUCCACUCAAAACCCACCAAAUGACUCCUCCCACAAUAUUAUGUUGUUCCCCAAGUUCUGGACUCAAUCCGACAUUGAUUGGUCCUUGGAAUCGAACAAUUCAGAUUCGUACGAAGUUCGUUCUGAAAUAGGGUGGUUGGUGUAUUGUAUUGUUCUAGAGAUUGGAUUUCACUCAAAAGCCUGCAAAUGACUCCUCCCACAACAUUAUGAUGUUCCCCAAGUUUUGGACUCAAUCCGAUAUCGACUAGUCCUUGAAAUCAGACAAUUCAGGUUCGUAAGAAGUUAGUUCUGAAAUGGGGUGGUUGGUGUAUUGUAUAGUUCUAGAGAUUGGAUUCCACUCAAAACCCACCAAAUGACUCCUCCCACAAUAUUAUGAUGUUCCCCAAGUUUUGGACUCAAUCCGACAUCGAUUGGUCCUUGAAAUCGGACAAUUCAGGUUCGUACGAAGUUCGUUCUGAAAUAGGGUGGUUGGUGUAUUGUAUAGUUCUAGAGAUUGGAUUUCACUCAAAACCAGCCACAUAACUCCUCCCAGAAUAUUGUGAUGUUCCCCAAGUUUUGGACUCAAUCCGAUAUCGAUUGGUCCUUGAAAUCGGACAAUUCAGGUUCGUACGAAGUUCGUUCUGAAAUGGGGUGGUUAGUGUAUUGUAUAGUUCUAGAGAUUGGAUUUCACUCAAAACCCACCAAAUGACUCCUCCCACAAUAUUAUGAU